rnacentral:rRNA from 1 species
AGAGUUGAUCCCUGGCUCAGAGCGAACGCUGGCGGCAUGCUUAGCACAUGCAAGUCGCACGGCUGGGGCAACCCCAGCAGUGGCGGACGGGGUUGAGUAAACGCGUAGGUUAUUCUAUUCUCCGGGGUGGGGGGACAACUGUGGGGAAACUACAGCUAAUACCGCAUGAUGCCCGAGGGCCCAAAGCAGCGAUGCGCCUGGAGAAGGACCUUCCUUCCAAUAACCUGUUGGCCGGGUUAUUGCCCCCCCAGGGCCAACAAUCUUAAGCCUGGUCUGAAAGGAUGAUCAGCCACACUGGGACUGAGACACGGCCCAGACUCCUACGGGAGGCAGCAGUGGGGAAUAUUGGACAAUGGGCGCAAGCCUGAUCCAGCAAUGCCGCGUGAGUGAAGAAGGUCUUCGGAUUGUAAAGCUCUUUCGACGGGGACGAUGAUGACGGUA